UGCUACCAUUAGUUUAUUGAAGUAUUAAAAGGGUUUUCUUUGAUGUAAAUGUAUUUCAUAUUAUAAAUCAUGCUACAUAGGUUAACUUCUUACCCUUCCUUCUCUUUUGGAGAAAUACCUAAAGAUUGAUUUUUUUUUUCCACCUGGACCUGUAAGCUCUGCCAUUUUUUUCCUCUAAAAAAAGAGUUUUCAUUUAGAAGAAUAUUGUUUUACAUGUAUUCGUGUGAAGGUGCAAUAUAAAUAAAAAUGUGGUAUAAAGAUAAACUGCAGGGUAAAUGGAUUGUUUACAAUGAGUACAUCCCAAUUAUUCUAUCUGUCAAAUUUUACACCCUGCAAAGGUCCAAUCAUUGGCUCUGCAGUUGUUUCUACCAAGGAUGUGAAAUGCUUGUGAAAUACAGCUAGUUGUGCAUUGAGCAACUUCUAUUGUUGACACUGAGCCUAUGUGACGCAGCACACACACACACACACAGAGAGAGAGAGUGGGAUGGCAGACUUCCUCUCUACAUGGAGAGCCGACAUUUGUCCUGACCUGAUGACUCAUUCAGCUACGAGUCUAAUCCUGCUUCUAUAUAAAUACAGAUGCAGAUCUCUUUGUGGUAAACACACACACACACACACACACACUCACUCACACAGGCUGACACACACGAGGAGGAGGAGGAGGAGGCGUUGGAAUGUGAUGAGUAGUGUGUACCAGGACAGACAAGUUUGCAUCUGAUAUGAUCACAUCCUGCUACAUGUAUCGGUCCUCCAGUCAAUGCAGGGUUAACACAACAAGCUCAAAAAACAGAAAA